rnacentral:lncRNA from 1 species
GAUUUUACUUAUAAUUGUGGAAGACUAUUUGAUGUGUUAAUUUAAAAAAAAACUCAAGCCUAGGUUUAAGAUUUGAGCAGGGAUCUUUUGUCGUUGUUGAUGAAGCCACUAAUAAAUGUCAUAUUGAGUAAAGACUUCGGUCAUAAGAUGCUUACAUGAAUUAUCAUAUAUGGCAUUGUUGAUGGAUGUUAAGAAUCUUGGUGAAGGAAGAUCAGGAGAUCGAUAGAGUUAAUUUCUAAUCAUAGUGUAUUGGCUCAAUGACCUCUAAUCCAUUGAAUUUGAAGAAAAUUCUGUUGGAAGGAAAAUCAAUAUAGAUCUUCUAAUUAAAUUGCAAAGGGAAUACAAGAAUUACCCCCUUUAAAUUAAACUUAGAUAGAUAUUUUUGGAUUCUAAGAAGGUUGUGGAGAUCACGUAGUGACCUUAAACUUGACUAAAGGAUUGGGGGUUAGUUAUGGUAAGUAUACUCUAUAUAAAUUGAGGACAAAAAGAUCUAGAGGUUUUGCUCUAGUUCUACUUGGAAAUUUGAAAUUUGGAGUUUCUUAGUCUUAAUGCAAAGUGAUACUUUAGUCAGAAAUCAUUUGUGACUUUAGAGAAUUAAAUGAAUUAAAUCAGAGUGUGCAGCGGAAGUCUGGUGGUUUGACUUAUUUUGAAACUGGUUAAGAUAAUUAAUAAUUGAUCUAAAAGGCAUUAUGAUGAAAUACUUGAGUUAGUUUCAGGAGAAUGUUGUUGAUUCUAUGGAUGAUCUAAAGGUAGCUAUGUAAUUUUCACCAGUGGAUCUUCUAUUGUUGACAACUUUUGGGAGAAUCUUGGG